rnacentral:rRNA from 1 species
AUUGAACGCUGGCGGCAGGCCUAACACAUGCAAGUCGAGCGGAUGAAGGGAGCUUGCUCCUGGAUUCAGCGGCGGACGGGUGAGUAAUGCCUAGGAAUCUGCCUGGUAGUGGGGGAUAACGUCCGGAAACGGGCGCUAAUACCGCAUACGUCCUGAGGGAGAAAGUGGGGGAUCUUCGGACCUCACGCUAUCAGAUGAGCCUAGGUCGGAUUAGCUAGUUGGUGGGGUAAAGGCCUACCAAGGCGACGAUCCGUAACUGGUCUGAGAGGAUGAUCAGUCACACUGGAACGUGGAUCCGGUCCAGACUCCUACGGGAGGCAGCAGGGGGGAAUAUUGGACAAUGGGCGAAAGCCUGAUCCAGCCAUGCCGCGUGUGUGAAGAAGGUCUUCGGAUUGUAAAGCACUUUAAGUUGGGAGAAAGGGCAGUAAGUUAAUACCUUGCUGUUUUGACGUUACCAACAGAAUAAGCACCGGCUAACUUCGUG